UGGGGAAUAUUGGACAAUGGGCGCAAGCCUGAUCCAGCCAUGCCGCGUGUGUGAAGAAGGCCUUUUGGUUGUAAAGCACUUUAAGCGAGGAGGAGGCUACUUGGAUUAAUACUCUAGGAUAGUGGACGUUACUCGCAGAAUAAGCACCGGCUAACUCUGUGCCAGCAGCCGCGGUAAUACAGAGGGUGCGAGCGUUAAUCGGAUUUACUGGGCGUAAAGCGUGCGUAGGCGGCUUCUUAAAUCGGAUGUGAAAUCCCUGAGCUUAACUUAGGAAUUGCAUUCGAUACUGGGAAGCUAGAGUAUGGGAGAGGAUGGUAGAAUUCCAGGUGUAGCGGUGAAAUGCGUAGAGAUCUGGAGGAAUACCGAUGGCGAAGGCAGCCAUCUGGCCUAAUACUGACGCUGAGGUACGAAAGCAUGGGGAGCAAACAGG
rnacentral:rRNA from 1 species